rnacentral:sRNA from 2 species
GGUCAUGGAUGGUAAUAAUGGUCAUGAAUGCCGGUGAUAGUGAUAACGGUGAUAAUGAUGAUGACGAUUUCAGGAUGACAUCCGCUACUACAACGAGAAAUGAAAGACAUCGCCCCAGAAGACCCCUUCUUCCCAAAACAAAGAGAAAGAAAUCAUUAUUAACCAUGAACUGAAGAAAACACCUUGAUGUCUUUCCCGUUCCUGUAACCCCGUACACUCCAAAUCCUGGCGAAAAAGACGAGACGAAGUGAAUUAGAACAAAAGUUUAGAGCCCAACGCCGUCCUCGAACUUCUUCAGCUUCGUCUCAAACUUUGAAACCCACUCAGACAAUAUCAACCCGGCAACAUUCAUCCCAGAUAACGAACUAGUCUCCAUCGUCGAUAUAAAGCUCUCCAUCCCGUUGGUAUACCAUAGAUUAGGCGCCAGUUUUAUAUCUUCAAACGUCACCCGCGGGUACAGGUAUGGGUACGACUGCCACACUUUCUCAUAGUACCAGCUGAUGUGAGACUUGGAGAUAUCCGCUAUGCGCUGGUCCGCAGUAUAGCUGGUUUCACUGCUGCUGCUGCUGCUGUUGCCGAACAUACGUGCCUCGUCGAUUCCGAGAAUGUCAGAUACAAAAUUUGCCUUCAGCGGCUUUGGCGAGAAAACCUUGUAUACAUAAUAAGAGUCACCUGAAAUGCCAUCCUGGAGAGAAUUGGCUGGUGCCUCCACCUUUUUCAGCGUGCUGAUGCUCCAGAAUUGAGCCGGGCCGACACCAUCAGUGCGGGCGCCUAGCUUGACGUUGGCGGGCAAUGUUGUGAGAACAGCUUCGGGGACUGAGGAGCCGCUGGGCAUUUUGAAAUAUUCCGGUGAGAGUUUAUAGGGGGAGGCAAAAAUGGUGACGUGCAGGUCAACGUAGCGCGGAGAAUGAAGCGGCCGUUUUGGUGGGGG